rnacentral:rRNA from 1 species
UUGACCUCGGAUCAGGUAGGGAUACCCGCUGAACUUAAGCAUAUCAAUAAGCGGAGGAAAAGAAACCAACAGGGAUUGCCCCAGUAACGGCGAGUGAAGCGGCAAGAGCUCAAAUUUGAAAGCUGGCUCCUUCGGGGUCCGCAUUGUAAUUUGCAGAGGAUGUUUCGGGAGCGGCCCCUAUCUAAGUGUCCUGGAACGGACCGUCAUAGAGGGUGAGAAUCCCGUAUGGGAUGGGGUGCCCGCGCCCGUGUGAAACUCCUUCGACGAGUCGAGUUGUUUGGGAAUGCAGCUCUAAAUGGGUGGUAAAUUUCAUCUAAAGCUAAAUAUUGGCCGGAGACCGAUAGCGCACAAGUAGAGUGAUCGAAAGAUGAAAAGCACUUUGAAAAGAGAGUUAAAAAGCACGUGAAAUUGUUGAAAGGGAAGCGUUUGCGAUCAGACUCGCCGACGGGGUUCAGCCUGCCUUCGGGCAGGUGUACUUCCCCGCCGGCGGGCCAGCGUCGGUUUGGGCGGCCGGUCAAAGGCUCUGGGAAUGUAACGCCUCUCGGGGCGUCUUAUAGCCCAGGGUGUCAUGCGGCCUGCCCGGACCGAGGAACGCGCUUCGGCUCGGACGCUGGCAUAAUGGUCGUAAACGACCCGUCUUGAA